GGUAUCAUGGCCGAGUGGCUAGGCAGAGGUCUGCAAAACCUUGUACGGCGGUUCGACUCCGUCUGGUACCUCAA
rnacentral:tRNA from 1 species